UACGUAGGUGGCAAGCGUUGUCCGGAAUUAUUGGGCGUAAAGCGCGCGCAGGCGGUUUCUUAAGUCUGAUGUGAAAGCCCACGGCUCAACCGUGGAGGGUCAUUGGAAACUGGGAGACUCCGAGUGCAGAAGAGGAGAGCGGAAUUCCACGUGUAGCGGUGAAAUGCGUAGAUAUGUGGAGGAACACCAGUGGCGAAGGCGGCUCUCUGGUCUGUAACUGACGCUGAGGCGCGAAAGCGUGGGGAGCAAACAGG
rnacentral:rRNA from 1 species